GGGAAAGAUGAGCUUAAAGGACCUCUCUGGGUAACUCACCUUUAACGGCUUAAAGUUUGCUCUCCCUGAAGGGAGACAGGUAAGACACCUGGAGACCAAAAAUAAAGAGGUUUGCAGCCCCAAAGGGCAGAAAUGCACACAGAUUUUGACAUGGACCCCUGGCAGGCUAGAACCUUGGAGAAUGGCUGUCUGAGCGUGGGGUGUGUGGUGACCAGCGAGAGAGCUGGACAGCUCCUGGAGGCCCUGGCACCUGCGGGGGAACUGGACCUGCAGAGCUGCCCAUCCAACGUCAAGGUCAAUAUGGCACGCCUGCGCCAGGGAGAGAGCAAGCUCCAGAUCGCCUGCAGAGCUGCCCAUCCAACAUCAAGGUCAAUGUGGCACGCCUGCGCCAGGGAGAGAGCAAGCUCCAGAUCGCCUGCAGAGCUGUCCAUCCAACGUCAAGGUCAAUAUGGCACGCCUGCGCCAGGGAGAAAGCAAGCUCCAGAUCACCUGCAGAGCUGUCCAUCCAACGUCAAGGUCAAUAUGGCAUGCCUGCGCCAGGGAGAAAGCAAGCUCCAGAUCGCCUGCUUGCUGUGGGGGUUAGGGGACCUCUCCCCGCUGGGGUUGCUUCUGCCUGGGAGCUCAGGGGAACGCUCUGGAGAGGAAAGCUCCAUCAGCCAAGUACCAUGUUCCUUGUUCAUCAGCCCAAAGAAGGUAACGCAUUGAUGGCCUGAUUGUGUUUCUACCACGACUUGCAACCCAAGAUGCAGCCCAGCCUCUGAAAAGCCCAUUGUUCCGUGCAGCGAUGUUAUAACUCUCUGUAAACGGGGCAGUCCAGGGCACUCAGCGCUGCCCGCUCCACCCCAUUGGUGACCUGCAGGGACAGCUGAAUGCCUUCUGGUCCGCUGAGCCCAGAGGAGUGGGGCUGGGCUUUCAGAAACAGCAGGGCUGAUUCAUCGAGAACAAAAGCCAGCUCUUCCUGCUAAAUCCCUGGCCAUCAAGGGCGGCGAGGCCAGCAGGCCCCUGAGCCCCUCCGCAGAAACUCCUUCUUCAUCCGGCUACCGCUGUGGGGCUCCACAGCAGGAGAGCCAGCUUCCCACUGCCCCGUCCCUUCAGCCUGGCCUGCUCUCAGAACCCCCCGGGAAGCAGUGGCUUGGGAGUGAAAUCUGGAUUCUCGUCCUGGUCCUGCCAUUUCCCAGCGGUGCAAUGAAAAUAAGAAACUUCACUUCUCUGAGCCUCAGUUUCUCCAUCUGUGAACUGGGAGUGAAAAUAGUUCCAGCCGGAGGAACUGGUGUCAGAUUUGAAGGAGAUAAUGCCCAGAACAGGAACCUACGACUCUUUGUCCUCUUGCUAUCUGGCGUCAUCUUUCAUAACUCAGUCUGGUACCUUGCAUUCCAGACACGUGGGCACGAGCUCACCCAUCUUAGCUCCUCCACGUCAUUACCUGUAGGCUUCCCAGAACGAUACCAGCUUCUGUUUACAGAGGCCCUGCUAUGCCCCAGGCCUUGCAG
ensembl:lncRNA